rnacentral:rRNA from 1 species
AAACUAACAAGGAUUCCCCUAGUAACGGCGAGUGAAGCGGGAUGAGCUCAAGCUUAAAAUCUCUGUGCAAGUUUUGCAUGGCGAAUUGUAGUCUAUAGAGGCGCUGUCAGUGCAGGCAUUCGGGGUAAGUUCCUUGGAAGAGGACAGCAUCGAGGGUGAUACUCCCGUUUGUACCUGAGUGCUUUGUGCGUACGACACGUUUUCUUUGAGUCGCGUUGUUUGGGACUGCAGCGCAAAGUAGGUGGUAAAUUCCAUCUAAAGCUAAAUAUUGGUGCGAGACCGAUAGCGAACAAGUACCGUGAGGGAAAGAUGAAAAGAACUUUGAAAAGAGAGUUAAAGAGUACCUGAAACUGCUGAAAGGGAAGCGAAUCGUAUCCAGUGUCUAUAAUCUGUGGCAUAUUUCAUUGGCGCAUGUGCGCGUGCUGUGUGUUGGAAGUGGCUUUGCUGCUCCGCGUAUGGUUCUGCGUGUGUGUGUUGGUGCCCUGUGUCAUGGUGGGACGUCAGAGUCAGUUCGUAUGCUGCGGGAAAUGGCUAUUGAGGAGGUAGGUCAGGAGCUUGCUCUUGGCUGUUAUAUCUUGGUAGCUAGUGGUCGUGGUUGGGACUGAGGUGCCUACAACGUGCUUUGAGGUCUUGCGGGUUCUUGCUUGGCGGUCUGUCUGGAUAGCUUGCUAUGCUGGUGGAUUCGUCGGGUGAUUGAGUCUGUUUGUAACCUGUGCCGUUCGGGACUUUGACGAAAUGGAGCGAUUCGGC